rnacentral:misc_RNA from 1 species
GAAAUUUACUAGCAACUGUGAAGUGUGAAGGCAGGUGGAGUUGUUAGUGAUUACAGAAACCACUCUGAUGGGGAAAAAUAAAUUAAAUAUAUGCUCAUCUAUGUUUUCUAAUUUGAGUGAUUUUUAUUAUAGAUAGAAUAAACUAAAACAUGGCAAAUUCUAAUUUUUAAAAACUAUAAUAAGACUUGGCAAAUUUAUCGUGCCAGUGAAGUAAUAUUCAAGUUAUUGUAAGCAAAUUAUUAUGUAUCAAUCCAUAUGACACACAUGGGAUGGUGACGUAUUAUUAAAUUUUAUAUAUCAGCAGAAAUCUUAAAACUCCGUCUAUGGAGUUGAAG